rnacentral:rRNA from 1 species
UGCGUAGGUGGCGCGCUAAGUCAGGUGUGAAAUUUCGGAGCUUAACUCCGAAACUGCAUUUGAUACUGGCGUGCUUGAGGACUGGAGAGGAGACUGGAAUUCAUGGUGUAGCAGUGAAAUGCGUAGAGAUCAUGAGGAAGACCAGUGGCGAAGGCGGGUCUCUGGACAGUUCCUGACACUGAGGCACGAAGGCCAGGGGAGCAAACG